rnacentral:rRNA from 1 species
AUUGAACGCUGGCGGCAGGCCUAACACAUGCAAGUCGAACGAGUGGCGGACGGGUGAGUAAUGUCUGGGCAACUGCCUGAUGGCGGGGGAUAACUACUGGAAACGGUAGCUAAUACCGCAUACCAUCGGAUGUGCCCAGAUGGGAUUAGCUAUUAGGGGGGGUACAGGCUCACCUAGGCGACGAUCCCUAGCUGGUCGAAGAGUAUGACCAGCCACACUGGAAAUGAGACACGGUCCAGACGCCUACGGUAGGCAGCAGUGGGGAAUAUUGCACAAGGGGCGCAAGCAGGAUGCAGCCAUGCAGCGUGUAUGAAGAAGGCCGUAGGGUUGUAAAGUACUUUCAGCGGGGAGGCGUUACCCGCAGAAGAAGCACCGGCUAACUCCGUGCCAGCAGCCGCGGUAAUAC